rnacentral:rRNA from 1 species
AUUGAACGCUGGCGGCAGGCCUAACACAUGCAAGUCGAACGGACCCUUCGGGGUUAGUGGCGGACGGGUGAGUAACACGUGGGAACGUGCCUUUAGGUUCGGAAUAGCUCCUGGAAACGGGUGGUAAUGCCGAAUGUGCCCUUCGGGGGAAAGAUUUAUCGCCUUUAGAGCGGCCCGCGUCUGAUUAGCUAGUUGGUGAGGUAACGGCUCACCAAGGCGACGAUCAGUAGCUGGUCUGAGAGGAUGACCAGCCACACUGGGACUGAGACACGGCCCAGACUCCUACGGGAGGCAGCAGUGGGGAAUCUUGCGCAAUGGGCGAAAGCCUGACGCAGCCAUGCCGCGUGAAUGAUGAAGGUCUUAGGAUUGUAAAAUUCUUUCACCGGGGACGAUAAUGACGGUACCCGGAGAAGAAGCCCCGGCUAACUUCGUGCCAGCCGCCGCCGUAA